rnacentral:rRNA from 1 species
GAUGAACGCUAGCUACAGGCUUAACACAUGCAAGUCGAGGGACCGGCGCACGGGUGAGUAACACGUAUCCAACCUGUCCUUUACUCGUGGAUAGCCUUUCGCAAGAACGAUUAAUACCCGAUAUAAAGGAUGGGGAUGCGUUCCAUUAGGUUGUUGGUGAGGUGACUGCCCACCAAGCCUUCGAUGGAUAGGGGUUCUGAGAGGAAGGUCCCCCACAUUGGAACUGAGACACGGUCCAAACCCCUACGCGAGGCAGCAGUGAGUAAGAUUGGUCAAUGGGCGUUAGCCUGAACCAGCCAAGUAGCGUGAAGGAGGAAGGCUUAUGGGUCGUAAACUUCUUGUAUAUAAGAAUAUGUAUUAUAUGAAUAAGGAUCGGCUAACUCCGUGCCAGCAGCCGCGGUAAUUC